rnacentral:rRNA from 1 species
AGAAGCACCGGCUAACUCCGUGCCAGCAGCCGCGGUAAUACGGAGGGUGCAAGCGUUAAUCGGAAUUACUGGGCGUAAAGCGCACGCAGGCGGUUUGUUAAGUCAGAUGUGAAAUCCCCGGGCUCAACCUGGGAACUGCAUCUGAUACUGGCAAGCUUGAGUCUCGUAGAGGGGGGUAGAAUUCCAGGUGUAGCGGUGAAAUGCGUAGAGAUCUGGAGGAAUACCGGUGGCGAAGGCGGCCCCCUGGACGAAGACUGACGCUCAGGUGCGAAAGCGUGGGGAGCAAACAGGAU